GACGAACGCUGGCGGCGUGCCUAAUACAUGCAAGUUGAGCGAUGAAGAUUGGUGCUUGCACCAAUUUGAAGAGCAGCGAACGGGUGAGUAACGCGUGGGGAAUCUGCCUUUGAGCGGGGGACAACAUUUGGAAACGAAUGCUAAUACCGCAUAACAACUUUAAACAUAAGUUUUAAGUUUGAAAGAUGCAAUUGCAUCACUCAAAGAUGAUCCCGCGUUGUAUUAGCUAGUUGGUGAGGUAAAGGCUCACCAAGGCGAUGAUACAUAGCCGACCUGAGAGGGUGAUCGGCCACAUUGGGACUGAGACACGGCCCAAACUCCUACGGGAGGCAGCAGUAGGGAAUCUUCGGCAAUGGACGAAAGUCUGACCGAGCAACGCCGCGGGAGUGAAGAAGGUUUUCGGAUCGUAAAACUCUGUUGGUAGAGAAGAACGUUGGUGAGAGUGGAAAGCUCAUCAAGUGACGGUAACUACACAGAAAGGGACGGCUAACUACGUG
rnacentral:rRNA from 1 species